AUGGAGCUGGACUGUAAGUUGGCGGACAAAGCCACCCGGCAUGUGGUGAGAUCCCGGUGCUGAAGACUAACGCUGGACCCCAAGAUCGGGAGUUGUGGGUGCAGCGACUGAAGGAGGAAUACCAAUCUCUUAUUCGGUAUGUGGAAAACAACAGGAAUGCGGACAAUGAUUGGUUCCGACUGGAGUCCAACAAGGAAGGGACUCGGUGGUUUGGAAAAUGCUGGUACAUCCAUGACCUCCUGAAAUACAAGUUUCACAUUGAGUUUGACAUUCCUUUCACUUGUCCUACUACUGCUCCAGAAAUUGCAGUCCCUGAGCUGGAUGUAAAGACAGCAAAGAUGUACAGGGGUGGCAAAAUAUGCCUGACUGAUCACUUCAAGCCUUUGUGGGCCAGGAAUGUGCUUAAGUUUGGAUUAGCUCAUCUCAUGGCUCUUGGGGUCCAUGGCUGGCAGUGGAAAUCCCUGAUCUGAUUCAGAAGGGCGUGAUCCAGCACAAAGAGAAAUGCAACCAAUGAAGGAGCAGGCCACUGAGGCUGGGCCAAGGGACCUUUGAUGGGCUGCCUUCCUCUUUUCCUGUGCACCUUACUUAUCUGCCUGCUUCCCCCUAUGCCCUAUACCCCUAGUUGUUACUAAGUAGCUACAGCAGGCCUAGCUGGAAAGAAAAA